AUGCGGAACACACUGCUCCGGAGGCGACAGGGCCACUGCCCACCCAGACCUAGGGGCAGGGACCAGAGGCAAAACGAGUGGGAGAAAGGCAGGUUCCCUAAGAGACCCCAUCCCCAGGGCCUGGGGACGCCAUGGAAGAAGGAGACCCAGCUGGACAGCCCCUCCCCUCCACCCGGCCCGGGCUGGGGCAGAUCCUGGGCCUUGGGGUUCCCCUUCGAUCUGCCAUUGGGCCCAGGCUCCCCAGCCAGGCUGGGAAGGGGAGUCAGGCAGCCCAGUUUCUUGGGGGUGGCACUGGGGGAGACGCUCGAGCUGCUGCUGCGGUGUGGAGUCAGCCUGGGGUCCACAAGGCCUCAAUGUGGGGAGGGGGAAGGGCAAAGGCAGGUGCCUCACAGGCCAGGCCCACGGGUAGUGCCACCGAGACCAUGGCUGUGGCCUGUGUGGAGCGGAAGGGGAUCUCGGGGCAGCCUGUUGGAAGAGCUGGUAACCCUCGUGGCAAGAGGCCAGCCAAGGGGACUGGAGAGGCCUGGGUGCUGGGACUGGUGGGCCGCCCCGCUGGUUCUGUGGCAGUCGGACACACAGCCCAGGGCCUUCGUGGGGCUCAGGGACCAGCACUGUCUCCAGCUCCAGCCAAUCCUGCCCUUGGGUCCCACCGUGGGAGGGCAGCAGGUGUGGCCCCGCCCCGGGAUGCUUCCCAGCGUUGGGGAAUGCCGCCAGGAUGCAUCCUGUCCAUGCCAAUGGCCCUCCGCUGUGACAGGGACAUGCGGGGGUGGUGGGUGUCUUGUGCUGGCCCCAAACUUGCACCCCCUCAGCCAGAGUCUGGAGCAUGGGCUUGGGUUCUUGAAGCAACGUAGCGAAGGACAGGGUGGUCUGGGAGGCCCCAGCACCGGGCUCCAGGGUGUGGCCCUGUGCCAGGGAUCGCUGGUCCCAGACAAAAUGCCCCAUUUCAGAAAAGGACGCAGGUUCCAAGAGAGAGCAGCUUAUGGGGGCCUGGGGAGGACGCUGCGUGGGCAGCCCUGGGGGCUGGAGCUGCUUGGCAGUCACCUGGGAGUGUCAGAGCCACCUUGCUGA
rnacentral:lncRNA from 13 species